CAGCUCGUACUCUACUGUUACGUUGUGUACACACCGGUCUUACUGUCUAUUUUUGAGACCGGUGUGUACACAUUGCUACUGUUAUACUUUUAUUUUACGGAAAUGUUCGGAAAUUACAAAAUUCCCCAAUUGGACAGCGACUUUGCAGCACUCCAAUGACUGUAUUUCUCGGUGACAUCCCCAACAAUCAGGGCAGCCACGUGGAUAUGGUCAGACUCAAACCAGCGAAUGAGGCCGUAUUCAUCAACCUCCUCCUCAGGAACACUGAGCUCAGCGCCGAAUGAUGUGCCUUCAAACACAUCACCAUUCUCCAAAACGAGCUUCGCUUUACCCAUCUUUGUUAAGCUUCGACAAUAAUUCGAUGAUGUUUACAUGUAUUAACACGUGGUUAUCU